UUGGAGGGCAAGUCUGGUGCCAGCAGCCGCGGUAAUUCCAGCUCCAAUAGCGUAUAUUAAAGUUGUUGCAGUUAAAAAGCUCGUAGUUGAAUUUCGGGAUCAAUAUUUCGGUCAUGCCGUUGGUAUGCACUGUUAUCAUUGAUUUCUCACCUUCUAAAGAACCGUAAUGCCAUUAAUUUGGUGUUACGGGGAAUUAGGACUGUUACCUUGAAAAAAUUAGAGUGUUUAAAGCAGGCUCACGCUUGAAUACAUUAGCAUGGAAUAAUGAAAUAGGACAUCCGAUUCUAUUUUGUUGGUUUCUAGGAUCGAUGUAAUGAUUAAUAGGGAUAGUUGGGGGCAUUAGUAUUCAAUUGUCAGAGGUGAAAUUCUUGGAUUUAUUGAAGACUAACUACUGCGACAGCAUUUGCCAAGGAUGUUUUCAUUAAUCAAGAACGAAAGUUAGGGGAUCGAAGACGAUCAGAUACCGUCGUAGUCUUAACCAUAAACUAUGCCGACUAGGGAUCGGAUGAUGUUAAUUUUUUAAUGACUCAUUCGGCGCCUUACGGGAAACCAAAGUGUUUGGGUUC
rnacentral:rRNA from 1 species